AAAUUGUCAUUAUUGCUGAACAAUAUCUGAAGUGUUUAAUAAUGUAUGUGCAAAUGUAUCAUUAUUAGUCAAUAUGGUUUGUGCUGCAGGAAGGGGGGAAGCCUGAGGUAUCCAAGUAUUUAAACGCUAGAGAAACACACACAGACAUGAUCACAUGAUCCAUGGUCACAUGACCCAGAUAACUGCCGUUUCUCUGUCAGUUAGGAGAGCCGAUCAGCCGAAGAACAGGUGAUUUCCUCAGCAGUUUUGGUCCUGACACGUCAAAAAUUGGAAAAGGGAGAUGAAAGAGAGAAGAUGACAAAGGGCAAUAUAGACCGGGUGAAACAUCGCUGGAAAUUGUCCUUCCUCGUCUGAAUACAAAUUUUAUGCUAUCAAGCAUUUUUUUUAUCCAAUAGAGGAUCCAUCUUCAGCACAUCAAGUCUCCUUUCGACUAUUUCCCUAAUCUUAAUUGCCUGGUUGCUGUAUUGUGUAAUUAAAAAGUGUUUUCUCCAUAUUUUGUAAUUUUUUCUCUCCAAUUUUUUCAUUUUCCUUUUUUAGAUUGUGAAUUUACAAGUUCUUCUCUAGAAGUUGCAACUGCUGUUUCAUAAGCCAUCUUAAUAUGACAGUGUGACAAUAUUUAAGUUUAUAUUCAAUGCAUUGGUUUAAAAUAAAUAUUGAUUUUCUACAGUAAA